rnacentral:rRNA from 1 species
GCUUACGGCCACACCACCCGGAACGCGCCCGAUCUCGUUCGAUCUCGGAAGCUAAGCAGGGUCGCGCCUGGUUAGUACUUGGAUGGAAGACCGCCUGGGAAUACCAUGUGCUGUAAGUG